GUCUACGGCUAUGCCAAUCUGAACAAGCCCGAUCCUAUCUAAUCUCGGAAGCUAAGCAAGGUUGGUUAGUACUUGGAUGGAAGACCUCUUAGGAAGACCAGGUGCUGUUUACA
rnacentral:rRNA from 1 species